GUUUGGGCCUUGCUUGCGCAGGAUAGGUGGGAGGCUUUGAAGAUAUUCUUGCGGGAAUAUUGGAGCCAAUGGUGAGAUACCACUCUAGCAUGGCUAAAAUUCUAACUUUGAACCGUUAUCCGGUCGAAGAACAGUUUCAGGUGGGCAGUUUGACUGGGGCGGUCGCCUCCUAAAAGGUAACGGAGGCGUGCAAAGGUUCCCUCAGGCUGGUCGGACAUCAGUCGUAGAGUGUAAAGGCAUAAGGGAGCUUGACUGCGAGACCUACAAGUCGAGCAGAGACGAAAGUCGGCCUUAGUGAUCCGACGGUUCCGAGUGGAAGGGCCGUCGCUCAACGGAUAAAAGUUACUCUAGGGAUAAC
rnacentral:rRNA from 1 species